rnacentral:rRNA from 1 species
CCCGGGUCUUGUACACACCGCCCGUCACACCAUGGGAGCGGGAUGUACCAGAAGUAGGUAGGCUAACCGCAGGGGGGCCGCUUACCACGGUGCGUUUCGUGACUGGGGUG